GUGGGUUCAUAAGAGGACGUAGAACGCCACAAGAUGCAGGUGCUUGCCUCUAUGUUGUGUGUCGAUUAAAGGGAAAAUGAGAGUGCUUCAUGGUGUAGAGAGAGACGAGAAACAGAAGCCAGGAACGUCGACUCUUGGAAUCAUGUUUUGGUGCUUCAGAUCCUACAAAAAAUGUUCAAAUAAUUGCACGUUUUGCUGAAUUCAGAAACAUGGUUUUGGCCAGGCUGUAAGCAAGAUCCUCUUCCCUUCGCAAAACCCUAAAUUGCCCUUUUCUAGAAUCCAGGUUCAUUCUAAACAUUGUCUUACUGAUUCUCUAUUGUAACCUUUAAUUUUAUUGUUUUGUGUCUAAUUUUAUGUUUAUAAUUUCAAUCGCUCAAAUGAUGAUGAGCUCUGCCGCGGGAGUCGGUGCUGAAGGCCUGGUUGGUGAAAUAGGCCGAUAUCGGAACUGCGAUCAGGCUGCGGUUUCGAGUUAUUGGGGGAUUUCGAGAUCUAACCGAGUGGACAUGGAACUGUUAUAUGAUUCCUUUAUACAACACAAGUUCCACAUUAUCUUGAGGGUGAGAAUUACGUCUUUUCGGGCGGUCGUGAGGUCAUCAAUGUCUUCUCAAUUCUUUGCAUAAUACAGCAUUUUUCGUACACAUCUGAUCUCAAUGAAAAGGACAUGCUUUAGAGAAACAACAAGAUAU